UUGGCAGUCGAGGGAAGAUGAUUAUUGGGAAACAAGUGUUGGGCUGAGAUAUUGUGGUUUACUAUAUCGGUAGAUCAAGUUUUAACUACCAACGGAUAAACACGAAGAGGAGCUUACUGACCAGAAUCUACCAGAAUGGGUGUACAAGGAAACCACAUGAGAUGAAAGCCCGACAUCACAAACUUUUGCAUACAUCAAAAGCUACAGAGGGAUUUUACAUUUUUUAUUAAGAAAGGGGGAAAAAAAGAAAGAGACAUGAGUCAGCAAAUGGACAUCACUGCCAGAACUCCUCCCGCGAAAAAGUAACUUUUACCAAACUUACCUAAUGAGGAAAACUUUCCGUACCAGUUUUACUAACAAACGGUUUUCGGAUUACCUGCGGGUCUACCCUUUUACCUGGGGUAGGACAAAGGACAAACGUAUUUUCGGAGGAAAAUCAUUCUUCAAACGAAUUGGAGAAAGUUACACACGUGACAAGUUCGUCCCUCUGAAUAUUUCGGUUUCGGAAAGGGUUGCUGAAAUAAAUGAAAGAUGCAAAUCAAAUAAUGAAGAUAAUCAAAAGAAAAAACUGAACAAAACACCACAUAUUCCCCCUUUUGUCGGAGCGUCAUAUGUGGGCACACGCAACAUUAUGGACGGGAAACACCCAUAUUUGCAAGCAUUAAAAGAGCAAAAGAAGAAAGAAUCUUCAACCGGAGACAAAGCAGCAGCAAUAGCUGCCAAGAAAGAAUUUUUCGACAGACUGAGUCAACCAAUUGUAAGAACCGCAAAACCCGAACACGAACGCCCCGUGAAGCCUCCGGCAGCAAACUCGAACCGAUCUGAUCAAAGAUUUGAGGGAACUCCUAAUAAGAGUGAAGUGACACCUUCUACACAAAAUAGGUUUGGUUAUAAAAAACCAGUCCCUUCACCUCGAAUAUCAAGGACUAAAAAUGUCCCCAAAGAAACAACUGGAGAUAAAAACAUAUUGGCACCUGUGUUGCAUCAGAGAGAAAGAAGUGUUUCCCAAAGCAGAAAAAUACCUCGUACUUCUAGAUCAAGUUCUAGAAACCGACAUAUGACAAAUCCACUUGAUGGUGGAAGAAAGCAGAGCCUUGAAAGCAAAUCUCGAAUACCUUUGUCCCAUCAACAAUCAACUAAAUCAAACAAUCCAAAAGAAUGUUCGAGUCAGCCAGAAAAAUAUCAUCCCAAAAGUGCUAUAUCUCCAAGCAAACAAACAAAAUCGAGUAGCAAGACCAAAACCAACUCGGGUACUGUUGAUACUAAAUCAGAUUCACCAUAUACCGUCAAAACUAAUAACAGGUCAUCUUCACCAAAACGUUUGUCUAAGUCAAAGAGUAACAGCUCAAGAAAAAUGGAUCAGGACAAAUGCUCUGAGACAAAAGGACAAAUAUUUCCUGCAGAAAGUGUCUGUGAUAGUAAUCACUACUUUUCCAACGACUAUCAAGAAAGAGACGCUUCCAAAGCAGACUUAGUAAAUUGCAACUUAGAUCGAGUAGAAGAAAAAAUGAUAUCUUAUCGUACCCAAUUAAAUAUGACACCUACGGGAUUUGGUGGAUAUACAAACUUCUUUAUAAAGCCCAUUCAGUUGAAUGUAACACACGAAGCAAUUGAAAAUGAAACCCUUAAAACAACCCCAAAUAGUGAAGAUAACAUUUUACCAACCAAAACAAAUUGUCAAAAUGAGUUGGGGUCAGGUAACCAAAAAAAUCAUUCAGAUUUAAUCGGAACUAAUGAAGAUAAAGUUGGGAAUUCUAAUUCUGAGUUGAAACAUAAACAGUACCCCACUCAAAAUAGUCACAACACAAGUAGAGAAUUAAAAGACUAUAACCAGGCAGAAGACAGAGUUCUAAGAGUUAAAGAUCCAAACGAAAUAGUUGCUGAUAUUAGAAAUGAUACCCCUUGUAAUGAUUCGUAUUCUAAUUUGGAUAUUGAAGAGAAGAUUAUUCCUCUUAAUUCUCGUAAGGUUGCAAACAGUUUUACUGCUGAUCAAGCGCCAAAGAAUAAUCAUAAAAAUGAUGUCAAUGGUGAUGAAUCGCGCAUGAUUAAUAGAAAAAAUAUUCCAGACAACAACGGAAUAUUUGACCAAAAUGUAUCUAAUAGUAAAUUGACUGAUCAACCAAACGAAACUAUUUUAAAAGAUGAGGGAACAUAUGGUUCUAUCUCUUCAAAAGAUGAUACCAAUACACAGACUAGACUCAAUAAUUCUCCUCUUAUUAGUUUAGAAAAUUUUGAAGAUGACCAAAAGGAGCAAUCAGACGAAGAUUCCUCUGAAAAUCCAAAAGAAAAUAAAAACUUUUUCAAAAAUAUCCGAAACAAAGUCAGCUCUGUUUUCGCAAAGGAUUCUGACAAUGAAGACAGUUCCAGUGAAAUGGAUGUUUCACUUGACGAUAGAAGAAGAAAUGUUUCUGAUCAUAGUGAAGAAGAGACACCUGCAGACCAGCAGGAAGCUUUACACAAAAAUUCCUCUGAAAAUUCGAACGAAAGCAGAACACCUCUCAAAAAUUUUCGAAAAAAAGUCCGUCCUGCUUCCACAAAGGACACUGACAAUGAUGUUAAUUUCAAUGAAACCGAUGCUACACUUGAUGACACGCAAAUGAGAAAUGUUCCUGAUCAUAGUAAUGAGGAAAUGCCCACAGACCAGCAGGAAAAUUCGGACAUAGACUCUCCAAGAAGUCCGAAAGAAAAGAAAAAACCUUUCAAAAAUUUGCGAAACAAAGUCCGUUCCGUUUUCGCAAAAGAUUCUGACAAUGAAGAUAGUUCUAAUGAAAUGGAUGCUACACCUGAUGCAAGAAAAGGUAACGUUUCUGAUGAUAGUGAGGAAGAAACCCCCACAGACUAUCAAGGAGACGUAGAGAAAAAUUCUCCAGAAAAUCCCAGCGGUAACAGAAAACCUUUUAAAAACUUCCGAGAAAAAGUUCGUUCUGCUUUCACAAAAGACUCUGACAAUGAAGAUAGUUCUAAUGAAAUGGAUUCUACACUUGAUAACACAACGACAGGAAAUGUUUCCGAUCAAACGGAUGAGGAAACGUCCAGAGACCAGCAUGAAUAUUCUGACAUAAAUUCACCAGGAGGUCCCAAAGAAAAGAGAAAACCUUUCAAAAAUUUGCGAAAUAAAGUCCGUUCUGUUUUCGCAAAAGGUUCUGACAAUGAAGAUAGUUCCAAAGAGAUCGAUGCAACAGUUGAUGAUUCAACAACAGGCAACCUUUCUGAUCAUAGUGAUGAAGAAACGCCCUCAGACCAAUAUGAACAUUCCGACAAAAAUUCGCCAGAAUAUUCGAACGAAAAGAAACCUUCUAAAAGUUUCCGACACAAAAUCCGCUCUGUUUUCGCAAGAGGUUCUGACAAUGAAGAUAGUUCCAAAGAAAUCGAUGCAACAGUUGAUGAUUCAACAACAGGCAACCUUUCUGAUCAUAGUGAUGAAGAAACGCCCUCAGACCAAUAUGAACAUUCCGACAAAAAUUCGCCAGAAUAUUCGAACGAAAAGAAACCUUCUAAAAGUUUCCGACACAAAAUCCGCUCUGUUUUUGCACGAGGUUCUGACAAUGAAGAUAGUUCCAAAGAAAUUGACUCUGUACUUGAUGACACGCAAAUGGGAAAUGUUUCUGAUCAUAGUGAUGAGGAAACACCCACAGACCAGCAGGAAAAUUCAGACAUAAAUUCCCCUAGAAGUCCGAAAGAAAAGAGAAAACCUUUCAAAAACUUUCGAAACAAAGUCCGAUCUGUUUUCGCAAAAGAUUCUGACAAUGAAGAUAGUUCUAAUGAAAUUGAUGCUACAUCUGGUGAUACAGUGGACGUUUCUGAUCACAGUGAUGAAGAAACAUUCACAGACCAAGAACAGUUAGACAAAACGUUCCCAGAAAGUCCGAACGAAAACAGAACUUUCAAAAAUUUCCGAAAUAAAUUUCGUUCUGUUUUCACAAAAGAUUCUACAAAUGAAGAUACUUCCAGCGAAAUAGAUAAUACACCAGAAGAAACGACAAGUAACGUUUCUGGUGCUAAUGAUCAAGAAACAUCCGAAAGAAAUGGCAAAUCAGAUAAAAACAAGGCAGUAGAUGCCAGAGUCUUUGACCGUCACUUUAAUGAUCCUGAUAAAUCAAUUACUAUCGAAGCAUCCAACGAUACUCAAAACCUAAACGCUGCUUUGCAUUCAGUGAACAGAGGCACAUUGAAAUCAAACAAGGAUAUCGUUGGUGUAACCAAAGAAAAAUCAGGUAACAACACCAAAGAUGCAUCUUUUAGAACUAAGAAUGGCAAAACAGUCGAAGCUACCGAAAAUUUCCAACCAAGCAGCAAAGUAGCCUUAGUAGAUUCUACACUACCUGUUGAUCAAUAUAUGGCAGAUGCAGCAGAAGUACAGAAAUGUCCACCACUUUAUGCCAAACCGAAUAUAAAAGGUACUAUUGUUGAACCCUCGACAGAACAAUAUCCAGAAAAUUUAUCUGAAAACGAAGAAUUCCAGAGCGAGUCAAAUUCACCUGAGAACAAUAAACGUGACAAAUACAAUAAUGAUUCUAUUGUAGAUUUGCUAGACAAAUUAGACACUGAUCAACAGAAGGCAUCAGACGAAGAGAGUACCAGCAGUAAAUCAAAUCCGAAUUCUCCUGAAAAGGAAUCUGCCAAAAGUUCUUCUCCUUCACGUUCUACUUCUUUUUCACGAUUUCGCUCAAAACUUUCUUCGAUGUUCUCUUUCAAAUCUGAUAAAAUGAAAAAUAAUGCAAAGGAGAAAUCUGUUGAAAAGGAGGAAGCUUCAGAUGUCCGCAAGGGAGAUGAGAAUGAUGGUGAUGGAACUGCUGAUCGUAAAGAUGGAGAUGAUAGUGGUAGUAUUUUCGAUAAAUCUGAAGCUCCUGAUGGAGAUGAUACAACGAUCAGAAGAGAUGUUCUGAAACCAGUUAAAAAUAUUUCAACUCAUUCUCCAAAUAUUAAUAGUAACAAAAAGAUAGAAAGGCGACAAAGCGACAAAACUCUCAGUGAAGACUCAGAAGAAGAGUUACCUAAAGAAGAAAGAUCUCAUGAUCAUGAAGACAUAAUUACGGGGGAAUGUGAAGAUAAUGAAUAUAAUCUUUUUGACAAGUUCUACUAUACAAACGAAGGAAAACAUCUGACAGAACUAGCGCCGGCAAACAGCAAUGCUAAUGAUUCAAGUAGUGGCAUCCAAGGAAUAGAUGAAGACAAAAACCACUCCGACGGGAAGAAGACAUCAAAUCUGAAUUCGACAUCUUCUUCUCCAUCCAGCUUUUACAAAACUCCACCACCAGACAUUCCAUCAAUAAAUAUUCAAGAAGACAGUACAAUUUAUCAGAAACCAAAUAUCUAUAAUGAAAGUGAAGAUAAUGACUCAUUGUUCGAAAGCAGUAGUCUCUACACAAGUUCACAAUUAUCUGAAUCAGAGUUCCCACCAGAGCAGAAGGAUACUGCAGAAAGCACUACUCCUCCAAUGUCAAGUGAAGCUGACAACAAAGAGAAUACGGUAAAAAAAUCUAUCCCAUGGUAUAACAAAUUUAGGGCUUUAUUUAGUCUUAAAAAGACUGAGAAAACUCCCGAUGAAAAUACCACCACAGAUGACGGUGAAUUUUCACGCGCUGAGUCUUAUCAUCCAAAGAUGCUUGAUACUGAUGUAGUUGAUCUGGAUACAGUUUCUAAUUCUCCAAACUGGUCAGAUAUCAUCGACGAUGACGUCGUAUCGGAAGAUGUAGAAAGGAAACUGGCAGCUCAAAACUCGAAACUAAUUUUUAAGAAUGAUAGUGAUUCGUUCGUUCAGACUAAGCCUAAACUAAAUUCGACAGAAAAUGUAAGUAGGUCGACAUCAUUUCCUGACACUGAAAAUCAGAGAACCUCAAGUAAGCUCCCAAUAAAAGGUCAGUCUCUCGAUCAAGAUAAUACAUUACAAGAAGGAAAUUCUUUGAAACGCUGGCCACCUUUAGAUGAGAAUACGAACGUUGCUGAUAAUCCAAUGUCUCAGCAAAAAUAUCCGCUCAGCAGUGAACGGUCGACUUCUAAUGAAGAUCUAAGUGAUGAUUCACUAGAAACUGAACAAAAGAUACAAGCUAAUAUUGACAGAAAGCCUUUAACUCAAUCAAGCACACUUAAUGCUGAAACUUCCCUUGACUCAACAAAUGCUCCCAAAAAUGUCGUUGUAUCAAAAAAAUCUUCAAAAGUCCCGAUAAGAGUUAAAAAAGCAAAUUUUUCAGAUAAUAAAAAACCAGUUCUUUCGCCGACACAAUCACGUUUGUUUGAUGAUCCUCACAAUGUAGAUACAAUAAAGGAUCCAUCAAAAGGUAGACAUUUGAGGAAAGAUGGCAAUGACCGCACAUCAACAGUAUCGGGGAAUGAAUCGAAUAUUAUGAUCAAAAAACGGGCGAAGGAACCGAUUACUUUAGAGACAAGCAAUGCUCACUUAGUAAGACGUAAUGGCAGGUCGCCGACAGAAACAAGGGAUAGACGUGAUGUUAAAAAACAAGCGGAAUCUAAAUAUAAACCGAUCGGUAAUCAAGCUGCUGACGGUCGUCGUGUUUUACCGAAAGGAGGUAAUAAAACAAAGACAACUUCAUAAAUCUUAUAUUUCCCGGUGUUCCUAUCCCUCUGUGUCAAGUACUGCUAGUAUGAACUCUCGGCCACAUGCCCUUCAAAUAGGGUUCCUUCUUCUCAUAAGAACACUUCAACGUGGACUUUCUAGAUUAAAAAGUGUGAUUUAUAAAGGGUCAAAAGAAGGCUAACAGCAACUAUCCUAUUUUGUUAUGGCUUAGUAAGCAGAGGUCCUUCUUCAGGGUUUCCGAGACUGGAGAGAAGAAAGGAGAAAGUUACCCUCAAGUGAAAGACAUAACCUGAACGUCUGUAACAUUAUAUUCUGCAAAAGAAGCAGAAUACCGGUUUUAAACUGCGUGAUGGAUUGAACCUACACUCACACAAAGCAGAAUAGUCUUCCUGAAGAGCUUCCACGCAGAUUCCGUUUACAAAAUUUCAUUCAAUAAAAGUUUAGUUAAUCUGAGUCUAUGUCAGAAAAUGCUGAACAGUGAAAACACCGUGCACCUGUACCUUUCUUUUACUUCUAGUCCAAUAUUUGAAGACAUUAAGGCUGUACCGAAGACAAUAGAGCGUUGAACUAAUCGCUGUCUCGGAGGUCCUGGAAUAGGUUAUGGCCGUUGUUCUUGCCCCUCUGACCAAGCAAUGUAAACAAUAAAUUUCAAAUGCACAUUAGUGUUAACAUACUUAAGCACAUCUAAUAGUGGCGUAGCUAGACUGCCCACCGCCCGGGGCAACCAUUGAGUUUUCCGCCCCCUCCUGAGCCCCGAAGCCUAUACAGGCUUAUAUAGCAGAGCCAAAAAUGCACCUAUCCUUAAAAGCGUUGCUCAGGGUGGACCGACCCUAAAAAGCGUCGCUUAGGAUGGACCGAUCCUCGACAACCGCUAGCCAUAAUACUGGCGCUUAAUGUGUGAUAUUAGAUCCCAAAUUAAGGUGAGAUCGAACGGACGCAUAAUCAAAGACAUCACAGCGUUGGCAGCUCGGGCUUCAGGCAUGGUUUAUCUCAGACAACAGAGCCAAAUGUGAACUUCCUUUUUUUAAAAAAGAAGAGAAAAUAUGGUAAUGGUAACGUGUGCUUUGCAAAAGAUUUUGCUCCUAUUUCUAGCAGGUCGAGCGACUAUGCGAAAGCACUCAAGGCUAGAAGGAACACCUACGUGAUACCAGUAACGUACUGUUGUAAUUUCAACCGUCUAUACUCUUUUUCUACAAAUGUAUGCGUCGAAAACAGAAAUCAAUCAUUAAAGUGUUGACGUCAGUGCCGGAAUAAAAGCAAGAGAGUUCUGGAUUAAACGCUUUGCAGUAAUAAGGUCCGAUCUUCUACACUUCGAAUUCAAAUCCCGCUGAUGUAAAAAUUUCGUGUUUCAGACUCGAUAAAUUAAAUACUAGUAAAUUCGAUCAAUAUCUAUCCUUCAAAUCCGUAGACAUAUUGAAUAAUGUAGUUCCGGCUACAUCUUAUCUGAAAAACAAAAAAAAUCUGGAAGGUCGCAAACAGAUUGACUUAGCUCUCAUGAGAUCGAUUAGAUCUGGUCUGGAGUUAAACAGCAAACACACACACACACACACACACACACACACACACACACACA
rnacentral:misc_RNA from 1 species